ensembl:lncRNA novel transcript, intronic to GABRG3
CUGAGGCAUCCAUGCGAGUGGACUGCGUAUCCACCAAUACUGGGUGUUCUAAGAGAUGGAGUCUUGCUAUGUUGCCCAGGCUGGUUUCAAACUCCUGGCGUCAAGCAGUCCUCCCGCAUUGGCCUCCAAAAGCGCUGGGAUUACAGGCAUGAGACACUGCUCCUGGACUGUGCAAUUUUAAAGACUUGAGCAAAUAACCCCUUAAAAUGUGAGUUUUAGGAUGGUGGGUAGGGCUUCAAUUUGAAAACUGUUACCAGGGAAUGUGAUUAUAACAUGCACAGUUCCCACUAAGUGUGAAAAUAUAGCUGAGAAGCAUGA